rnacentral:rRNA from 1 species
AAGUCGGUUGUGAAAGCCUUCCGCUCAACGGAAGAACGGCAUCCGAUACUGCAUGGCUUGAGGGUGGGAGGGGAGAGUGGAACUUCUGGUGGAGCGGUGAAAUGCGUAGAUAUCAGAAGGAACACCGGCGGCGAAGGCGACUCUCUGGUCCAUAACUGACGCUGAGUGUGCGAAAGCUAGGGGAGCAAACGGGAUUAGAUACCCCGGUAGUCCUAGCCGUAAACGAU